rfam:Otolemur garnettii contig072899, whole genome shotgun sequence.
GUGCUCGCUUCGGCAGCACAUACACUAAAAUUGGAAUGAUACAGAGAAGUUUAGCAUGGCUCCUGUGCAAGGAUGAAAAAGAAAAUAUCUCCAUAGUACAUAGAUUG